AAGGCGAGGCCGAAAGGCGUAGUCGAUGGGAAACGGGUUAAUAUUCCCGUACUUGGUGUUACUGCGAAGGGGGGACGGAGAAGGCUAUGUUGGCCGGGCGACGGUUGUCCCGGUUUAAGCGUGUAGGCUGGUUUUCCAGGCAAAUCCGGAAAAUCAAGGCUGAGGCGUGAUGACGAGGCACUACGGUGCUGAAGCAACAAAUGCCCUGCUUCCAGGAAAAGCCUCUAAGCAUCAGGUAACAUCAAAUCGUACCCCAAACCGACACAGGUGGUCAGGUAGAGAAUACCAAGGCGCUUGA
rnacentral:rRNA from 5 species